rnacentral:rRNA from 1 species
ACUCCUACGGGAGGCAGCAGUGGGGAAUAUUGCACAAUGGGGGAAACCCUGAUGCAGCCAUGCCGCGUGUGUGAAGAAGGCCUUCGGGUUGUAAAGCACUUUCAGUAGGGAGGAAGGUAGUGUAGUUAACACCUGCACUAUUUGACGUUACCUACAGAAGAAGCACCGGCUAACUCCGUGCCAGCAGCCGCGGUAAUACGGAGGGUGCGAGCGUUAUCCGGAUUUAUUGGGUUUAAAGGGUCCGUAGGCGGAUUAAUAAGUCAGUGGUGAAAUCCCAUCGCUUAACGAUGGAACUGCCAUUGAUACUGUUAGUCUUGAAUGAGGGUGCAGUGGUUGGAAUGUGUAGUGUAGCGGUGAAAUGCAUAGAUAUUACACAGAACACCGAUUGCGAAGGCAGAUCACUAACCCUAAAUUGACGCUGAGGGACGAAAGCGUGGGGAGCAAACAGGAUUAGAUACCCUGGUAGACUGUC